rnacentral:rRNA from 1 species
AUGAAGAAGCUGACGCAGGGGCGCAAGAAGAUCCCGGUGGAGUGCAUCGAGGACGCGAACCGGCUGCAGGUCUGCUUCUCCAAGCGCCGCAAGGGCCUCGUCAAGAAGGCCUUCGAGCUCUCCGUGCUCUGCGGCGCGCAGGUGGCGCUCAUCGUCUUCUCCCCCGCCGGCAAGCCCUACACCUACGGCCAUACCUCCGUCGACGCCGUUCUCGACCGCUUCCUCCUCUCGUACUCCGGCGACGUGGAGGCCGAGGCGGUGGCGGCGAGCCAGCAGACGGAUCUGAGCGAGCUCCUCCGCCAGGAGGAGGAGCUGAUCAAGGCCCGCGACGCGGAGGCGCGCAGGGGCAAGGAGCUUCAGGCGGAGGUGCGCGCCGCCGGCGUCUGGAUCGACGGCGACAUGCGUCACUGGGAGCUGCCGGAGCUCGAGGCCGCGCUCAACGCGCUCGAGAGGGUCCAGGCGGAGGCCGCGAUGCGCGCGCACGAGAUCUUCGCCCAGGACGCCAUGAUGCAGCAGACCUCGGCCCCGGCUCGUCGUACACGGGUGACCCGUCCGCCGGCGGUCAUGAAGAGAUGGCCAUGGACACCACGAUGA